rnacentral:miRNA from 1 species
CAGGGCUGUGCACAGGAGGCGA